UCCAGACAAGGGCUGAGUCACUGCUCCUCGGAGCCUCAGUGUCCCCAUCCGCACAAUGGGGAGCUUCUUCCCAGACCCUCCCUGCUUCCUGGGACUGUUGUUCAGAUAAAUGAGAUCAACUUGCAGAUUGGAUAUGGAUUAUUUUCGUCGACACACCCACCUCACUUCUUGGAGAAAACCAGGAAAGCAGGCCGGCCCCACCCAGUGGUUUCCGGAUUUACUCAGAGGAAGACUUCCAGCUCACCGACCCCACAUCAUCAAGAGCAAGGAUCAUGAGACUGUGUCCCUAUCUCCCCAUCAGAGGAGAGUCUCCAGAGCUAAGACGAUGUCUCCCCUGUCAGACUAGGAUCUCUAGGGUAAGGACCAUCUCCCUGCCCCGCCCCCAUCAAACUCCCUCAUCUGGUUCCCCUGAGCAUGGACCCUGAGCCCUAACGGGUCCCUUCCCCCCUCCCCACCCCUUUUGAGGAUCAGCCAUCAUUUCCUGGAGCUCCUGGGGACCCUCCCCCAGCAAUGUGCAGAUGGAUGGCCUGACCCAUGCAGCCCCGCCCUCAGCUACCAAGAU